rnacentral:lncRNA from 1 species
GACGUCCCACUCCAAUAGGCCCAGUCUAAAAUUGGAAAUAAUUAGGGCUUUAAUAAAAUUCAAUAGUUACUUAAUUAAAGGAGAUAUACCCCUUAAUCUACUCAUUCAAAAUAAUUUCGAUUCAGAUUUUUCCCCUCUCUCUCUCCGGGAACCUUCCCCUUCCCCUUCCCCCUUGCCCUUUCCGUCAACUUCCCCACCGCCGCCGUUCUCCGUCACCGCCGCCCCCUCCCCCUUCUCUCUCUCUCAACCG